rnacentral:rRNA from 1 species
UAGGGAAUCUUGGACAAUGGGCGAAAGCCUGAUCCAGCCAUGCCGCGUGAGUGAUGAAGGCCUUAGGGUUGUAAAGUUCUUUCGCCAGGGAAGAUAAUGACGGUACCUGGAUAAGAAGCCCCGGCUAACUUCGUGCCAGCAGCCGCGGUAAUACGAAGGGGGCUAGCGUUGUUCGGAAUUACUGGGCGUAAAGCGCACGUAGGCGGCUUUCCAAGUUGGAGGUGAAAUCCCCGGGCUUAACCCGGGAACUGCCUCCAAAACUGAAAGGCUAGAGUCCGAGAGAGGUGAGUGGAAUUUCCGGGUUAGAGGUGAAAUUCGUAGAUAUUGGAAAGAACACCAGUGGCGAAGGCGGCUCACUGGCUCGGUACUGACGCUGAGGUGCGACAGCGUGGGAGCAAACA